UCUCUCAAUGCAGGACACAUCUGAUGCUGUGAUAGCAACUAAUGCUCCAUUCUUGCGGGCUUCCUUGCAGGCUUUCGAAAUUGUUCGGACCGUAUCAGGAAGUUCAAACAAGUAUCCUUCCACAACCAAUAUAUUUGUUUUAGUAAUUGCCUCUGCCAAGCAUGGGUCAUAGUUUAUCCUUGAUGACGUACCCUGGUAUGCUAGCAUUGUUCGCUGAGCAUCCGAAGUUGUGAGGACUAUCACAGUUCCUGUCGUCCCAUCCUUCACUGGGGCUGAUAAAAAAUUCACAUUUGCUCGUCGAAGUUUGGAUCUGUAAAAUCCACCCAACGGAUCACUUCCAAUACUACCAGCCAAAGCUACAUUCAGAGCAGGACCAGCUAUUGGCUGACCACCAAGCCUGGCCAAGGCAACCAGACUAUUAGAAAGUGAUCCACCCGCAGCGGCCUUGUAGCUGCAUCCAUCCAUCGCACUCAGAACUUUACCCCUUUCCUCAUGAUUGACGACCUUUCUGGUACCCUUCUCUAAUCCAAGCCUUUCCAGAAAUUCGUUGUCAACCAUGCCAGAAAAAUCAACCAUAGCUUGGCCAAGGCCUAAAACAUCCCAUCUUUGAGGAAGAUCAGAAUUCGAAUAACCCGCAUCUUCCUCAUCAACAAUCAACACUUGGUCUUCAUCGUCAGUCUCAGCCCCUUGUUCAUCAUUUUCACCUGACCGAACCUCCGAACUUUCCCCGUCAGAAUUUCUACCAGAAGAGGAAAAUUCAGAUCCAAAGGAAGACGAAAAAGCCCUCGGAACCACAUAAUCGGCAGCCGACAUAGAACAACCCGAAGAAACGAAAGAACACGAACCGGAACCGAAAUUUCUAUAGCUUGACGCAACAUGACUGAAAUUAGACUGAUUCCUUAAAAGGGUUAGUAGAGAAGACGGCGGAGAUGAAGUUUCAGAAGAGAAGAAAGAAGGAAAAGUUCUGGAAACUGUAGAAGAUGAAGAAGAAGAUAAGGAGAUAAGAGAAAAAGACAUGUUUUUUAUUGUUGAAGAAUAACUAUUUUAGGUGAAAUCAAGAAUCGAGAAACAGGGUAUUUGUGGGUUAAAUGUGCUGAUUUACAAUGAAAAACGAAGCUCCGUUGGAAUAUGGAGUCCGCCGUCUUCUUCGCAGGUAGCAAAGAGCUUAGUUUGCCUGCGCGCUGAGGGCCUCAGGCUCCGGUCACCGUGAACGUGGGUCGAAG
rnacentral:misc_RNA from 1 species